rnacentral:misc_RNA from 1 species
GAUAAGAACGUAGCGAAAUGCGAUAAGUAAUGUGAAUUGCAGAAUUCAGUGAAUCAUCGAAUCUUUGAACGCACAUUGCGCCCCCUGGUAUUCCGGGGGGCAUGCCUGUCCGAGCGUCAUUACAACCCUCAAGCUCAGCUUGGUGUUGGGCCCCGCCGCCCCGGCGGGCCCUAAAGUCAGUGGCGGUGCCGUCCGGCUCCGAGCGUAGUAAUUCUUCUCGCUCUGGAGGUCCGGUCGUGUGCUCGCCAGCAACCCCCAAUUUUUUUCAGGUUGACCUCGGAUCAGGUAGGGAUACCCGCUGAACUUAAGCAUAUCAAUAGCGGAGGA